GAUGAACGCUGGCGGCGUGCCUAAUACAUGCAAGUCGAGCGAACAGACGAGGAGCUUGCUCCUCUGAUGUUAGCGGCGGACGGGUGAGUAACACGUGGAUAACCUACCUAUAAGACUGGGAUAACUUCGGGAAACCGGAGCUAAUACCGGAUAAUAUAUUGAACCGCAUGGUUCAAUAGUAAAAGACGGUCUUGCUGUCACUUAUAGAUGGAUCCGCGCCGCAUUAGCUAGUUGGUAAGGUAACGGCUUACCAAGGCAACGAUGCGUAGCCGACCUGAGAGGGUGAUCGGCCACACUGGAACUGAGACACGGUCCAGACUCCUACGGGAGGCAGCAGUAGGGAAUCUUCCGCAAUGGGCGAAAGCCUGACGGAGCAACGCCGCGUGAGUGAUGAAGGUCUUCGGAUCGUAAAACUCUGUUAUUAGGGAAGAACAAAUGUGUAAGUAACUAUGCACGUCUUGACGGUACCUAAUCAGAAAGCCACGGCUAACUACGUG
rnacentral:rRNA from 1 species